AGAAGAAAGGAAAAACAUUAAAGAACGAAAAGAAAACCCUAAAAACCUCUCAUCUUCCUCUCCUCUUUCUCUCCUUGUGUUCUUCGACUGGUUACAUCCUCCGAUGCCCCAUUUCUGGUAGGAGUUGCUUAGUGUUCGACGUUUCAACAACCCCUUUUAGAGUUUCCCCCGUUCUCAACAAGGAUUGAAGAGAAUCAUCGGUUGUGAUCGAAAUACUAAACUUCACGCACCAUCGCAGCAAAAGCCGACUCCUUUUUGCUAUGUUUGUAACGGACACCUCAUUUCAACAACGCCCAACAAAGCCGGAGUUUUUUGAUUGUUUGAGAAGCACUUUUAAAACAUUUAGGUGGGAGAAUUAGUCCUUAGUUUCAAAAAUUUGACAUCGAAAAACUUGCCGAUUGAGACGAUCACGAAUGAGAUUCCGUUUUAGAUCACUUUGUUCCUCUGUGGAUAUCUCAUCUUCUUGAAGAUGUCAGAUAGAUUUGAACUUGAAAAGUUUGAUGGAAAGAAAAAUUUCAGUUUUUAGAAGAAGAAUACGAUGGCGUUGCUCGUUCAAUAAAAAGUUGCAAAAGUCCUAAUUGAUCCAAGCGGGAGAUUCGUUGAGCUUUGCUGCAAUUCAUUACAUUCCCCACUUAGAACUACCAAGGUAAAUGUGGAUGUAGCAUGGGGUCAAAAAUCUCUGUUGAUGAGUAUUGAUAUUGGUGGUAGAGAGUCCAAUGGAUCUCUCAGAGCUGUUGCCCAUAUCUAUUUGAAUAUCGUCAUUAAGUCUCCUUCAUCUGAGAUGAAAGCCAUUUGAGAGGGGUGUUCGUUUUGCAUAUAUACUGGGUUUCCAAAAGAUAAUCGUUGGGUCAGAUUGUUCAACAACCAUUGAUCUCCUGAAUAAACGAUUUGUUUCCUUCAGCGAAGUCCUUUGCAUCUCUUUUCUUCAUGUAAAACACAAUUUAAAUUCAAUUGCUAAUAAAUCUGUUGUACGGGCCAAAAAGCAUGGUGUAUCUGAGCUCUGGUGUGAUGUAUUCCCUUGUUCUAAUUGAAGCCCAAAAGGCUUAAUAAAGUAGAUUUCUUUCCAUUUUUUUUUAAAGUAAGUAAUUAAAGUUGUCCUAAAAGAAGUAUGUAAC